CAUGUAAUCCCAGCUACUUGGGAAACUGAGGCAGGAGGAUCACAAAUUUGAGGAUGCAUUCAAAUUCCUUAGCAAAGCAGAGGGAAACCUUCAGGAUUUGGUGGCUACAAACCUUUGUGGUCUUCCUGCCUCCCACAACCCUUUGCACUUGUUGCCUCAGGACUCAAACCAAAACAUCAGCUCUUCUUGGGUCUUGAGCCAACCACCUUUUGAACUGGAACUGUACCAUUGGUUUUCUUGGUUCUCAGACUUGGACAGGAACUACACAAUCCACUGUCCUGGCUCUCCAGUUUAUUGAGCAACAGAUCUUGGGAUAUCUCAGUCUCCAUAAUCCAGUGGGACAAUUCCUUAUGGUAAAUAUCUUUCUACAUUGGUUAUGUUUCUCUGGAGAACACUAAUACACCCAGCAAAAGGAAAUAUAAUUUUUAUCAAGUUCAUCCAUGAAGUAUCACAAAACUUCAUGUAAAAAUAGCACUUUCUAAAUUUGAUUUUUAGUGGUGGGGCUUGAACCCAGGGCCUCAAAGUAUGCCAGUCAAGUGCUCCACCACUAACCACAUCCCCAUCCCAGAAGUAAUACUUCUAGUUUUUACACUGUGAUACAGCUGAAUAAAGGAAAAGAUUUAAAGAUAAAAUAUGUGUAAACACACCUUACACAUGAUAGUUUAUUCCACAGGCAUAUGUUAGAUAUUGAGUUUUAUUUUUCUUUGUUUUCCUUUUUAAAAGAAGGACUUCUCCACGGUAUAUUCACAGAACAAUAACUGAAAGGCUUGGGCCUCAUUUAUGGAGGAACAGGAUAAGAAAAGGAAGGAGCCCAGGUGAUAAGAAGUCAGUAUGCUAGAAUAGCUAAAGCAAUCCUCAGUAGCAAGAGCGAAGCAGGGGGUAUUGCAAUACCAGAUCUUCAACUCUACUACAAAGCAAUAGUAACAAAA